rfam:Triticum urartu cultivar G1812 contig450222, whole genome shotgun sequence.
UUUGUAUUAACUCCGUCCUAAAUUACUUGUCUCACACUUGUUUAGAUACGGAUGUAUCUAACACUAAAACGUGCCUAGAUACAUCUGUAUCUAGACAAAUCUAAGACAAGUAAUUCGGGACAGAGGGAGUAUGCA